GACGAACGCUGGCGGCGUGCUUAACACAUGCAAGUCGAACGGAAAGGCCCUGCUUUUGUGGGGUGCUCGAGUGGCGAACGGGUGAGUAACACGUGAGUAACCUGCCCUUGACUUUGGGAUAACUUCAGGAAACUGGGGCUAAUACCGGAUAGGAGCUCCUGCUGCAUGGUGGGGGUUGGAAAGUUUCGGCGGUUGGGGAUGGACUCGCGGCUUAUCAGCUUGUUGGUGGGGUAGUGGCUUACCAAGGCUUUGACGGGUAGCCGGCCUGAGAGGGUGACCGGCCACAUUGGGACUGAGAUACGGCCCAGACUCCUACGGGGGGGAGCAGUGGGGAAUAUUGCACAAUGGGCGGAAGGCUGAUGCAGCAACGCCGCGUGCGGGAUGACGGCCUUCGGGUUGUAAACCGCUUUCGCCUGUGACGAAGCGUGAGUGACGGUAAUGGGUAAAGAAGCACCGGCUAACUA
rnacentral:rRNA from 1 species